rnacentral:lncRNA from 1 species
CUUUGCAUUAAAUUCAAUAAGCCUUUCAACCUAAAAUAAAAGUAUGAAGAUUCUGCUUCUGAUCACUCUUCUAUUCAUAUCUUGUAUCAUCUUAAUUCCUUAACAUCUGUAAAAACAGUAAAAUAAGAGGUAAUGAGCUAGACAGCCCAGUAAGCAACGAUCAUUUCUCAACAGAUUUCAUCAGGCAUAUAAGUAAAUAAUCAUUUAUAGAAAAUAAGCAUAAAGAGUUCAUCAAUUCGAAAUCAAUUUCAAUUAUGCAAUAUAAUUCAUGCCAAAUUCAUUUCUUUUUCGAAAAUUCAAGUUUCUUUCAAGAUUUCAAUUUCUUUUGUUCUUCAAUUCUUUUCGUCAACCAUGAGCUAUGACCACAUUUUUCCUGUGGCAGGGUCAUAAUACCGCGUAUCUGCUUGCGGUAGGCUGUGAAUCAUCUGACAGUCAUGUCCUUUGGAACCGCUGGUCUCGCUGGCGG